UACGGAGGGUGCAAGCGUUAUCCGGAUUCACUGGGUUUAAAGGGUGCGUAGGUGGUUUUGUAAGUCAGUGGUGAAAGCCCGGAGCUCAACUCCGGAACUGCCAUUGAUACUGCUUAACUUGAAUCAAGUAGAGGUGGAUGGAAUAUUACAUGUAGCGGUGAAAUGCUUAGAUAUGUAAUAGAACACCGAUUGCGAAGGCAGUUCACUAUGCUUGUAUUGACACUGAGGCACGAAAGCGUGGGGAUCAAACAGG
rnacentral:rRNA from 1 species